rnacentral:rRNA from 1 species
UUUAACUGAAGAGUUUGAUCAUGGCUCAGAUUGAACGCUGGCGGCAGGCUUAACACAUGCAAGUCGAGCGGGGGAAGGUAGCUUGCUACUGGACCUAGCGGCGGACGGGUGAGUAAUGCUUAGGAAUCUGCCUAUUAGUGGGGGACAACAUCUCGAAAGGGAUGCUAAUACCGCAUACGUCCCACGGGAGAAAGCAGGGGAUCUUCGGACCUUGCGCUAAUAGAUGAGCCUAAGUCGGAUUAGCUAGUUGGUGGGGUAAAGGCCUACCAAGGCGACGAUCUGUAGCGGGUCUGAGAGGAUGAUCCGCCACACUGGGACUGAGACACGGCCCAGACUCCUACGGGAGGCAGCAGUGGGGAAUAUUGGACAAUGGGGGGAACCCUGAUCCAGCCAUGCCGCGUGUGUGAAGAAGGCCUUAUG